rnacentral:rRNA from 2 species
GCAUCGGAAACUGGAUAACUUGAGUGCAGAAGAGGGUAGUGGAACUCCAUGUGUAGCGGUGGAAUGCGUAGAUAUAUGGAAGAACACCAGUGGCGAAGGCGGCUACCUAGUCUGUAACUGACGCUGAGGCUCGAAAGCAUGGGUAGCAAACAGGAUUAGAUACCCUGGUAGUCCAUGCCGUAAACGAUGAAUACUAGGUGUUAGGGGGUUUCCGCCCCUUAGUGCCGCAGCUAACGCAAUAAGUAUUCCGCCUGGGGAGUACGACCGCAAGGUUGAAACUCAAAGGAAUUGACGGGGACCCGCACAAGCGGUGGAGCAUGUGGUUUAAUUCGAAGCUACGCGAAGAACCUUACCAGGGCUUGACAUCUUCUGCUAAUCCGAGAGAUCGGACGUUCCCUUCGGGGACGGAAAGACAGGUGGUGCAUGGUUGUCGUCAGCUCGUGUCGUGAGAUGUUAUGUUAAGUCCCGCAACGAGCGCAACCCUUAUGAUUAGUUGCCAGCAUUAAGUUGGGCACUCUAAUGAGACUGCCGGUGACAAACCGGAGGAAGGUGGGGACGACGUCA